rnacentral:rRNA from 1 species
CUCCUACGGGAGGCAGCAGUGAGGAAUAUUGGUCAAUGGGCGAGAGCCUGAACCAGCCAAGUAGCGUGAAGGAUGACCGCCCUAUGGGUUGUAAACUUCUUUUAUAUGGGAAUAAAGUUUGCCACGUGUGGCAUUUUGUAUGUACCAUAUGAAUAAGGAUCGGCUAACUCCGUGCCAGCAGCCGCGGUAAUACGGAGGAUCCGAGCGUUAUCCGGAUUUAUUGGGUUUAAGGGAGCGUAGGUGGACAUGUAAGUCAGUUGUGAAAGUUUGCGGCUCAACCGUAAAAUUGCAGUUGAUACUGCGUGUCUUGAGUACAGUAGAGGUGGGCGGAAUUCGUGGUGUAGCGGUGAAAUGCUUAGAUAUCACGAAGAACUCCGAUUGCGAAGGCAGCUCACUGGACUGCAACUGACACUGAUGCUCGAAAGUGUGGGUAUCAAACAGGAUUAGAUACCCUGGUAGUCCACACAGUAAACGAUGAAUACUCGCUGUUUGCGAUAUACAGUAAGCGGCCAAGCGAAAGCAUUAAGUAUUCCACCUGGGGAGUACGCCGGCAACGGUGAAACUCAAAGGAAUUGACGGGGGCCCGCACAAGCGGAGGAAUAUGUGGUUUAAUUCGAUGAUACGCGAGGAACCUUACCCGGGCUUAAAUUGCAGAUGAAUUACGGUGAAAGCCGUAAGCCGCAAGGCAUCUGUGAAGGUGCUGCAUGGUUGUCGUCAGCUCGUGCCGUGAGGUGUCGGCUUAAGUGCCAUAACGAGCGCAACCCUUGUUGUCAGUUACUAACAGGUUCCGCUGAGGACUCUGACAAGACUGCCAUCGUAAGAUGUGAGGAAGGUGGGGAUGACGUCAAAUCAGCACGGCCCUUACGUCCGGGGCUACACACGUGUUACAAUGGCAGGUACAGAGAGACGGUCCCUUGCAAAAUGGAUCAAAUCCUUAAAGCCUGUCUCAGUUCGGACUGGGGUCUGCAACCCGACCCCACGAAGCUGGAUUCGCUAGUAAUCGCGCAUCAGCCAUGGCGCGGUGAAUACGUUCCCGGGCCUUGUACACACCGC